rnacentral:rRNA from 1 species
GGGUUGUGAGGUUAAGCGACUAAGCGUACACGGUGGAUGCCCUGGCAGUCAGAGGCGAUGAAGGACGUGCUAAUCUGCGAUAAGCGUCGGUAAGGUGAUAUGAACCGUUGUAACCGGCGAUUUCCGAAUGGGGAAACCCAGUGUGAUUCGUCACACUAUCAUUAACUGAAUCCAUAGGUUAAUGAGGCGAACCGGGGGAACUGAAACAUCUAAGUACCCCGAGGAAAAGAAAUCAACCGAGAUUCCCCCAGUAGCGGCGAGCGAACGGGGAGCAGCCCAGAGCCUGAAUCAGUGUGUGUGUUAGUGGAAGCGUCUGGAAAGGCGCGCGAUACAGGGUGACAGCCCCGUACACAAAAAUGCACAUAUUGUGAGCUCGAUGAGUAGGGCGGGACACGUGGUAUCCUGUCUGAAUAUGGGGGG